rnacentral:rRNA from 1 species
GAGCGGGUGUAGCAAUACAUCAGCGGCAGACGGGUGAGUAACACGUGGGAACGUACCCUUCGGUUCGGAACAACCCAGGGAAACUUGGGCUAAUACCGGAUACGUCCGUAAGGAGAAAGAUUUAUCGCCGAGGGAUCGGCCCGCGUCUGAUUAGCUUGUUGGUGGGGUAACGGCCCACCAAGGCGACGAUCAGUAGCUGGUCUGAGAGGGUGAUCAGCCUCACUGGGACUGAGACACGGCCCAGACUCCUACGGGAGGCAGCAGUGGGGAAUAUUGGACAAUGGGCGCAAGCCUGAUCCAGCCAUGCCGCGUGGGUGAUGAAGGCCCUAGGGUUGUAAAGCCCUUUCGGCGGGGAAGAUAAUGACGGUACCCGCAGAAGAAGCCCCGGCUAACUUCGUG